rnacentral:rRNA from 1 species
UGGGGAAUAUUGCACAAUGGGCGGAAGCCUGAUGCAGCAACGCCGCGUGAGGGAUGACGGCCUUCGGGUUGUAAACCUCUUUUAGCAGGGAAGAAGCGAGAGUGACGGUACCUGCAGAAAAAGCGCCGGCUAACUACGUGCCAGCAGCCGCGGUAAUACGUAGGGCGCAAGCGUUAUCCGGAAUUAUUGGGCGUAAAGAGCUCGUAGGCGGUUUGUCGCGUCUGCUGUGAAAUCCCGAGGCUCAACCUCGGGCCUGCAGUGGGUACGGGCAGACUAGAGUGCGGUAGGGGAGAUUGGAAUUCCUGGUGUAGCGGUGGAAUGCGCAGAUAUCAGGAGGAACACCGAUGGCGAAGGCAGAUCUCUGGGCCGUAACUGACGCUGAGGAGCGAAAGGGUGGGGAGCAAACAGGCUUAGAUACCCUGGUAGUCCACCCCGUAAACGUUGGGAACUAGUUGUGGGGAUCAUUCCACGGUUUCCGUGACGCAGCUAACGCAUUAAGUUCCCCGCCUGGGGAGUACGGCCGCAAGGCUAAAACUCAAAGGAAUUGACGGGGUCAUAGCUG